rnacentral:rRNA from 1 species
UGAGGAAUAUUGGGUCAAUGGGCGGAAGCCUGAACCAGCCAUGCCGCGUGAAGGAAUAAGGCCCUAUGGGUCGUAAACUUCUUUUGUGGUGGAGCAAUAAGACGUACGUGUACGUCGAUGAGAUUACAUCAUGAAUAAGCAUCGGCUAACUCCGUGCCAGCAGCCGCGGUAAUACGGAGGAUGCGAGCGUUAUCCGGAUUUAUUGGGUUUAAAGGUGCGUAGGCGGACCGUUAAGUCAGUGGUAAAAUUGAGAGGCUCAACCUCUUCCGGCCAUUGAAACUGGCGGACUUGAGUGAGCGAGAAGUAUGCGGAAUGCGUGGUGUAGCGGUGAAAUGCAUAGAUAUCACGCAGAACUCCGAUUGCGAAGGCAGCAUACCGGCGCUCAACUGACGCUGAGGCACGAAAGCGUGGGGAUCAAACAGGAUUAGAUACCCUGGUAGU